rnacentral:rRNA from 1 species
AGUGAACGCUGGCGGUAGGCCUAACACAUGCAAGUCGAACGGCAGCACAGUAAGAGCUUGCUCUUACGGGUGGCGAGUGGCGGACGGGUGAGGAAUACAUCGGAAUCUACUUUUUCGUGGGGGAUAACGUAGGGAAACUUACGCUAAUACCACAUACGACCUACGGGUGAAAGCAGGGGAUCUUCGGACCUUGCGCGAUUGAAUGAGCCGAUGUCGGAUUAGCUAGUUGGCGGGGUAAAGGCCCACCAAGGCGACGAUCCGUAGCUGGUCUGAGAGGAUGAUCAGCCAAACUGGAACUGAGACACGGUCCAGACUCCUACGGGAGGCAGCAGUGGGGAAUAUUGGACAAUGGGCGCAAGCCUGAUCCAGCCAUACCGCGUGGGUGAAGAAGGCCUUCGGGUUGUAAAGCCCUUUUGUUGGGAAAGAAAAGCAGCAGGUUAAUACCCCGCUGUUCUGACGGUACCCAAAGAAUAAGCACCGGCUAACUUCGUG